GUCUCCAAGGCCUUCAUCCAACAUUCUAUUACAGGCUAUUACAUUCUGACUUAACUGGCUCGGCACGUCAUCACUCAUGGUUUUAAAGCCAUCUGUCUAACCCUGACUCUAUAAAAGGUGGCACAUAGGAUAAUAUAAGCACGCUCUCAGUUUAGUCAUUUCGCAGUCGCACGCCUCAAAUCUAAAAUACAACAGGCGUGUCAUUUCACAAUAGCUGUGCUGCAUGUUUUUCUAAAUUUGUUCCGUACUUUCUUUUUAAAAGGCCAGUAAGAGGUGAUAAGGCUCCAUGCUGGUAAAAUGUGUCGUUUUAUUAAAGGGUAAAUACAGUUCUGUGCGGCGUAGCUUGCUACAAAAUAUUGUGGUUUCUCUGGGGGAGUUGGUUAGUGCUGCACUCCACUAAUCUGACUUUUAUGGAAGAGUGGCAAGAAGAAAACCCUUGCGGAAAGAAAGAUGUAAGAAGUCUUGUCUACAGUUUGCUACAAACCACGUGCGCUCCGGUCAAGUGAUUUCAUGGUGUACAUGCAAAAUGCUGCGUGUGGCAGAAAACCAACACAACACCUUCUCAUUAAAACAGAACAGGACAGAGAAGUUACAUUUGGGCAUUUGGGAAGACAAGUUGAGCUUCAAAAGACUCAGACUCAGGUCUGUUGUGACAAAAAUACAUAACAUGCAUAGAUCACAUAACAAAUUCAAAAAUGAAGUUCACUCUUCAUCAAAUCUGACUGAAUGUAAUCAAAUUUACUGAGAAGAAUGAGGGAGAACUUUUAAAUGUGCAAAUCUGGUAGAGACAUUUAUGGACUCAGGGGGGCGCAAUGUCACACAGCAACUCUAAUAACUUCAAUGUCUCGUUGAAGUUUGUGGGUGUGACAUGAAACCACAAGCCUGAUUCAUUCAGAACUCCAAGAGCCCGUAAGAACAAGAAUAUUGGAAUGUUUAGGUUUUCCCAGGAAGCGUGCGAAAUGGAGAUAAAAUUAGAAAGAGGAUUAAUAACGAAUAUACUGGAGAGAGGAUGUUGAUUGUGGAGCUGAGAGGGAGAAGGAAAAGAGAAAGAGGACUGAGACGGGCUAUGAAGGGAGGGAAGAACGGGUGGUGUGAGAGAGAAGGAUGCUGGGGAUAGAGAGGAAGGAGGCAAGGGCGACCCCUAGAGGAAGCAACUGGAACAGAUCAUUACGACACUGAAGAUAAGUGAAUUUGAACCAGAUUAUGGUUGAUUUAAAAAGCUCUACAUAAAUCUGAACUAUUUUUUAGUACCUGAUGACAAGGUAAGCUAGCAUCACAGUACUAAAGUGUUGGGCACUGUUUAUUUACAACAAGAAGGUUCUGGUUUCAAAUUCUGCCUGGACUCAGCCCUCUGUUUAGAGGUUUUCUGCUGUCUCCUGCAAACUCCUGCUUCCAUUUCUAACUUUACUAAUGAAUUAGAGUAUAAUUUUUUGUGCAUUGAAAAAGUGUCGGAUAGAAAGCUAUUUAAUUACAGUUUGCUUUGUAAAUUAAGCUAUACAUCCUUAAAUCUGGUUGACACAUCAGAAACCGUCUUAAUUCUUCAUAGUAUCAACCCCAGGUUGAAAUCCUUCCUCUGGUAUUUUAGUUUUUAGAGAACAACUUCAGACUUAUUGACUGAAUCUCACUGUGGUGAGACGUUAAAGUAAAUUAAGCACGGUAGAUUUCCUGUCAAACCAGUUUGAGUUGAUUAAUUUAGCGACAUGGUGCAUGUCCUCGAUCAGAGGAUGUGUACGCCUUGGUUGUAAAAAGAUGAACAUCAUCUGGAAAAAGAGGUGGGGGUGCGGGGGGGCCUCUGGUAGGCUGCGAGGUUUCAGAAAGCAUCAGCCAGUGUUUUAUUGAACAAAAAAAAAAAAAAAAAGCAGGGGUGGUUUUUAGUUGACCAGGGUGCUGUUAAAAGGGGGAAACGGCAGAUAAAAAUAUCUAACUUCCUGCAACUUUUAGGUCCAUUCAAUGGGGAGUCGUCAUCCCUGUGUGUUGAGUAUGUUCUCCCUGCUUUCUGCUAAGAAUAGGCAGACUAGGUUGCGUGCUUUGGGCAGAACCUAGCACAAAGCACGCAACCUAUGAAUCAUAGAGCAUUUCUGCUCCGAGAUCACAGGUAACGUUCUGCAUUUUGAUUGGCUGGGGGGUGGGAGAAGAGUACUCAUAGCGCUAUUCAUGCAUGUUUGGUGCUUGAUUGUCAAGCCAAUCAAGCACCAAACAUGAUCAGUUGCACAGGAUUUGCAGGAUCGGAUCAAUGACAUUUAAUUCCCCAGGUUUAAGAUUGUUGUUGUAGAAGGGGGUUUUUUUUUGGUACCUUUAUCAGUGUUCUUAUUAAAUAAAUCUGAACCUGUGGUCCACGUCCAUGUAACACUCUGCAUGAAUUAAGCAAAUGUAGAAAAAGGAUUUGUGGAUGGAUGGAAAAAUAUGGAAGAAUUUUUUUUUUUUUUUAAAUCUGCUCAAAGGGGCUUGGAAUAAACCCAACAUCUUCUUAUCAAGACACUGUGCAUUUUUUUGUGUAAUAACUAUUGAUUAAAUUACACAGCAAUCAACAAGUGGUGCUGUUUAAUAAUACAGAAAAAGGCUUUGUGAAAGUUCCAUUGAGUGAUUUCAUUUAAACUGUUCUUACAUAGGACCUGAUGAAUAUGAUCGGCUUAAAGACGAUGGAUAUUCACUUAAAUGGCUGCAAAACACGCCCCUUUCCAGGAAAAACAGAUGACAUCGAAUGGAAAGUUUCUUAAUUCAAGUGACAUUCUCUCAGUCAAGAUACCAUAAUGGCUCACAUACUGUAUCUAUAUCUAAUCUUCCUUUCCUAUCUAAGGUUAUUGAGAAAACAGUUGUACAUCAUUGUCCCCUAUGUUGCGGAUCUCCGGAGGACUGGAUGAGGUUCCUGCGGCCUUCUCCACCAGGGGGCGUUCAGGAACAUCGUAGUGGGCGUGGUCGGCGGAUCCUACCGGCACACCUGCUGCCACUUACCUUUUUGGGAGGAGUAUUUCAGGAGGACAUCGUCAACACUCUAGUGCUAGAGUGUUAACUCGUAAAUGGUUUCGUUGCCGCGGAACUGCGGGCAUUCUGUCCGUCUGGAUUCCCAGUGGCCGGAAGAAUCAUCGAGACCACACGACCUGAUCCUCCUUGUUUCCCGAAGAGCCUGUCUCACCUGUCCGCCCUCCAACGCCGCAGUCGCCCGUCCUCUCUGCUCCAACCCCUGAUCCACCGUGCUGCCUAUCCCUCUCAGCUCCGCUUUUUCCACCAGCAAGAAGAUCAUUGGUCCGGUUCCGCCCUCCCGAGUGUCACAUCCUGGAUGUUUUUCACAUUUUGCACCGUGUUUAUAAUAAAUCACUGAACUUAC